rfam:Triticum aestivum genome assembly, contig: Triticum_aestivum_CS42_TGACv1_scaffold_528776_6DL
UAGGUACUCCCUCCGUUUCACAAUACAUGACUUUCAUUUAUCAAAAUAUAGAUGUAUCUAGACAUGUUUUAGUAUAUAGGUACAUCCAUUUUUGAACAAAUAGAAGUCAAGUAUUUUAAAACGGAGGGAGUAGGUU